rnacentral:rRNA from 1 species
UACGUAGGGGGCAAGCGUUGUCCGGAUUCACUGGGCGUAAAGCGCGUGUAGGCGGCGCGUCAAGUCGGGUGUGAAAGCCCGGGGCUCAACCCCGGGAUGCCGCUCGAAACUGGCGCGCUUGAGGACGGAAGAGGGGAGUGGAAUUCCUGGUGUAGCGGUGAAAUGCGUAGAGAUCAUGAGGAAGACCAGUGGCGAAGGCGGGUCUCUGGACAGUUCCUGACACUGAGACACGAAGGCCAGGGGAGCAAACGGG